rnacentral:tRNA from 1 species
UUCCCACGCCGGGAAUCGAACCCGGGCCUCCUGGGUGAAAGCCAGGUAUCCUAGCCACUAGGCCACGUGGGA